UUAAAAAUACCCAACUGCACGCAAAUAUUUUUGUUAAUUAAAGAUGAGUAUCUGCUCAAACACCUAUAGACACUCCAUGUGAGCUAGUGCACAGCAGACAUCAAAAAACCCACUGUGGUCACAUUACUUCUGUGCUUUUCAUUUCCCUUUUGAGACGGGGUCUCUUGUAGUUCUGGCUGGUCCCUGACCUUUGUUCUACUGAUCCUACUGUUUCUAGUUUUGGACUGCUGGGAUUACAGGUGCCUGUCACCCUGCCGGCCUUUGUGUACUGCUGGGAUUGGAACCCAGGACUCUGUGCAUGCUAGGCCCUGCUACUGCCUUUGACCGGAAUUCAGCUUCUUGGCCUUCUAAUGCGGAUUCAAGACUAGAGGCUCUUCAAGGGUCUUUUGGAUUUUUCAGUGCCAGUUUGGGACUGCUGAAGCAGCUAGCUUCGUGGACGGCGGAUCCAGGCUUCUCAGACUCUCCAGAGUACACGCAGCCACUGUUGGACUGCCCGGCCUGAUGGCACAAGCCAUCCUGGUGAUGUGGCUUUAUAAUAUCCGUUUAUUCUAUUGUCUAUGCUUCUGUAGAGGACUCUGAGUGAUGCAGCUAUCUGAAAAUGUGACUGUAACAAAGAGAUGGCAGGCGUGCUAUGUGGCAGAGGAGAGCAUAGCCUGGGGACAUGAGUGUGAGCAAGGGGCUCCACAUGGGUCCUUGGGAAAUUUUUCCUUUAGUAGGGUCAGGACAUUGUCCGGUCAGUGAGUAACUCUCAUGUAGGUUCACUCCGUUCCCUGGAGUCUGUGACUGUUUGAUGCUGUGUGAUUAUGCUCUCCCUUCCAAAGGACUGAAAAUUUCUGGCCUAUAAAUUUCUCCGUGUGUGGAA